CGAGGCCCGGCGGGAGCCGACUGAGAAAGUCCGGGCUGCUGACACUCCGCCCCGCGAGCUGUUUUCCCUGACCCAUGUCAUUCUGUUGAUACCAGAACAGAUAUUAAGUACCAUAUAUGGGAAAAGUGCUAUUUUACAAUGCAGAUGGCCUGUGGGGGCGGACCUGGACUCAAGCCUCGGAUCCGUUGUGGGCGCCCUGAGUUCCAUUUUCGACCCUGUCUUUGGAGUGCGCACGCUGCAGUCUUUCAGCCUCCAGACAUCUGCUCCGGUUGUUCCAGAGCACCGGCUUUGGGUGCCCCGUUUCAAGCAUCAAACUCACACUGGUUAUCUAUUCUACAUAAGAAAACUGAGGUCCCUAAGAAGAUGGAAGGCCUGUCAGCUGAGCUCUGAAUUCUCUCCUC
ensembl:lncRNA